ACUCAGGAUAGUUCAGCCAGUAGAGCAUGGGACUCUUAAUCUCAGGAUCACGGGUUGGAGCCCCACGCUGGGCA